rnacentral:lncRNA from 1 species
UGACAAGACAUGCCGAGGCACGGGUAUGUGUUUCUGUUUUUUUUUUCGUUCGUAGUAUCACCCAUCGGUCCUUUUUUGUCGAUCCUGGUUGACUUAUACAAGAGAUAACGGUCUGAAUGAAACAUGUUGAAAUUGUUCAAAGUCACGUGUACCUUGCAUCUAAAAGUACGCAGGUCUUAAGACAUGCGAUGCUUUUUGGAAGGAGAAAACAAAUGUGAAAGUAAACUCACAGCAAAACUAGCCGUCUUCGACUGAUUCCAUCUCUCAUUUCUCCACGUCCUGAAGAAGGUAUCAGUAACCCGAAAUAUCGAAAUAUCAGGUAAUAUUCCCAAUGUGGUUCUCUUUUCCUUUCUUAUAGUUUUACUUCGUAUGUCAUCUUGCAUCGUUUGGGCCUUAUCUUACAAAUUAUGUUUUGUAAUAUCACACAAAAAUUUCAUAACUAUUCUCUUUUAAUGCUAGUUUGUUAUUAUUAUUAUUUUUUAUUUCACAGGCAAUCUUAACAGUAAACAUGAUAAUAAAUGCCCUCAUAAUAAAACGUAAAAAGAAAAUAACUUAAACAUGCCUUCGCAAUAUAUAAUGGAUAAUAGUUCGCUACUCGACUGUUGUAAAUUUUAAGAAGGUGCUUUAUGAGGUGGCGAUGUUGUACUAGAAGUUCAUAAAGCAAUUAUGCUUGUUUAUUCCACAACAGACAGUAGCAAUACCUGAUAAGAAUAUAUUAAACUAAUUCCGUCUGGCGUAAUGAUAUUUUAUUCAUCCUUGACUUUUGGUCAUCAACAAACAACCAUAAACGCAUUUCCCUUGUUUUUCUUUACACUUGUUUCAGUUACAGGAGUGCGGUCAUGCUCACAUAAAGUUCGCUUAUGCCUAAACACUGAUUGGCGUUGAUGCAGCUGCAUUUCUUCCGACUUGACGGUCCCAUUGUGCAACUGAGUCAAGGUUGUUGACUGUGUUUUAGUUAAAACUACGGCUUUAGAAUCUGCUCAGAGUUACCUCUCUUGGAUAUAUACAUAUAUAUAUAUCAAGCUUGAUUUUGUAGGUAUGUCUGAUGAAUGUCAGCUUGUAUGUAUACCAGCCCAUCAGUUUUUUUGUUUUUUUUUCUCUUAUUAAAUUCCGGUAUAAUCGUAAUUUAAACACUCUGAAAAGUAUUUAUAGAAAACGUUAUCUAAAAAUGCUCAUUUUUCUGAAAGUUAUGAA